AAAUUGAAGAGUUUGAUCAUGGCUCAGAUUGAACGCUGGCGGCAGGCCUAACACAUGCAAGUCGAGCGGAAACGACACUAACAAUCCUUUGGGUGCGUUAAUGGGCGUCGAGCGGCGGACGGGUGAGUAAUGCCUAGGAAAUUGCCUUGAUGUGGGGGAUAACCAUUGGAAACGAUGGCUAAUACCGCAUAAUGCCUACGGGCCAAAGAGGGGGACC
rnacentral:rRNA from 1 species